CUGAUUUUCCCCUCCGUUCGUGACAAUAUUCUGCUAUUUGGUGUUUUCCUUAUAGCCGCGGUGUCCGAAGACAGCUGACUACCUAUGAAUCUCAGGGUGAUUUUAAAUAACAAACCUGUGUCAGGAAAAAGAAAACCAAGAACAUGGUGUCAUUGGAAAAAGAAGAAAGGGACCAGAACAAGACUAAGAGGAAAAGAAAGAGAAGA